rnacentral:rRNA from 1 species
UACGGGAGGCAGCAGUGGGGAAUAUUGCACAAUGGGCGCAAGCCUGAUGCAGCCAUGCCGCGUGUAUGAAAAAGGCCUUCGGGUUGUAAAGUACUUUCAGUCGUGAGGAAGGUGUUAAGGUUAAUAACCUUAGCAAUUGACGUUAGCGACAGAAGAAGCACCGGCUAACACCGUGCCAGCAGCCGCGGUAAUACGGAGGGUGCGAGCGUUAAUCGGAAUUACUGGGCGUAAAGGGCACGCAGGCGGUUAAUUAAGUUGGAUGUGAAAUCCCCGGGCUUAACCUGGGAAUGGCAUUCAAGACUGGUUAGCUAGAGUCUUGUAGAGGGGGUAGAAUUCCAUGUGUAGCGGUGAAAUGCGUAGAGAUGUGGAGGAAUACCGGUGGCGAAGGCGGCCCCUGGACAAAGACUGACGCUCAUGUGCGAAAGCGUGGGGAGCAAACAGGGAUUAGAUA